rnacentral:rRNA from 1 species
UACGUAGGGUGCGAGCGUUAAUCGGAAUUACUGGGCGUAAAGCGUGCGCAGGCGGUUUUGUAAGCCAGAUGUGAAAUCCCCGGGCUUAACCUGGGAAUGGCAUUUGGGACUGCAAGGCUGGAGUGUGGCAGAGGAGACUGGAAUUCCCGGUGUAGCAGUGAAAUGCGUAGAUAUCGGGAGGAAUACCGAUGGCGAAGGCAGGUCUCUGGGCUGACACUGACGCUGAUGCGCGAAAGCCAGGGGAGCGAACGGG